rnacentral:lncRNA from 1 species
CAGGGACACUCAAACUGAUGCCAGAAAGGCAGGGUUUUGUUUAGUUUUUGUGACUGAUUGUGCUCUAGUUCUUCUGAACUGCAACAACGUAUGAACUGAAGUUCUGAAGGAAACGUGAAACUAAUUCAGAAAAAUGAGCAGAGUAAAGACUGUGAGAAAUAGAGUACAGAGAAAAAGUGUCAAAACUAACUGGAAUACCAGAGAAAAGUGUACGGAGCUCACCAGGAGAAACAGUAUGAAUGGAAUGAGACCCUGUCUGUCUCAUGAUGAUGCAGACAAACCUGUGAAGUGUCAUUCUGAUUUGUCAGAGAGGAUCAAAUAUGACCGAUUACAGCACAUUAAAACCUCCUGGACCCGUCCUCCUGACAGCAUUGUUCAAUUUUCUGUUGUCAAACACACCAGCCAGAUAUGAUUAAAACUCAAUAUUUAAAAAUCACAAUACAGAGUGUUU